rnacentral:tRNA from 1 species
AGUGGCUUAGGCUAACAACUAGACCGAGGGCCUUCAAAGCCCCAAGCGGGAGUGAAAACCUCCCAGCCGCUG